GACAGAGGGUGCAAACGUUGCUCGGAAUUACUGGGCGUAAAGCGCGUGUAGGCGGUUCCGCCAGUCUGGUGUGAAAGCCCGGGGCUCAACCCCGGAAGCGCAUUGGAUACUACGGAGCUUGAGUCCUGAAGAGGAGAGCGGAAUUCCCGGUGUAGAGGUGAAAUUCGUAGAUAUCGGGAGGAAUACCAGUGGCGAAGGCGCUGACCUGGACGAAGAUUGACGCUGAGGUGCGAAAGCGCGGGGAGCAAACAGG
rnacentral:rRNA from 1 species